rnacentral:misc_RNA from 1 species
GAUGAAGAACGUAGCGAAAUGCGAUAAGUAGUGUGAAUUGCAGAAUUCAGUGAAUCAUCGAGUCUUUGAACGCACAUUGCGCCCCCUGGUAUUCCGGGGGGCAUGCCUGUCCGAGCGUCAUUGCUGCCCUCAAGCACGGCUUGUGUGUUGGGCCUCCGUCCUCCUCCCGGGGGACGGGCCCGAAAGGCAGCGGCGGCACCGCGUCCGGUCCUCGAGCGUAUGGGGCUUCGUCACCCGCUCUUGUAGGCCCGGCCGGCGCGUGCCGACACAUCAAUCUUUUUUCCAGGUUGACCUCGGAUCAGGUAGGGAUACCCGCUGAACUUAAGCAUAUCAAUAAGCGGAGGA